UAAUACUUGUUGGUAAUUCGUCCAGAUAAUCAUCUGGCUAGUCAAUUUCCUCCAAUUCAGUCAGCAAAUAAAUGUUGGAAGUCCAGCGGCCUGGGUAAUUACACCUUCAAUUCAAGAGCUCCAGCUAGCCUCCAGUCUCUCUCAUAAGUCUCUGCAUUGGUUUUCAUUCUCAGGAAAGAGAGACCCGCUGAGCAGGUUCACCUUUGAGUCCCACGUGUGAGCGGCAAAGUGUGAGUUAGGAGUCUUGUGCAGAAAGGAAGUCAGCCUGCCUUGAUCUCUGAUCUCUGUUGUUCCCAGGGUCUCUCUGUCCUCCUCCCAAGAGUGAGAGGGGGGGACCGUGGGAACGAGGUUAAACUUUGCUGCUUGUACGUGUGUUCCUCAAACGUGAGCCUAUUCGCAGGCGAGGAAAGAGAAUUCCUUGUUUCAUUCAAAUUUCUUUUUGAGGGAUCGUUUCAUCUACCCUCACGACUUUGCUAAUGAGUUUUGCUUUCAAUUAUAUAUAUUAAGAAGGAAUACUCAAUAUUAGAUUUAGAAGAGCAAAUAAUAAACGGAUAGUUAAUGUUAGAUUUGGAUUAGAAGAUUGUACACAAAGACAUUUAUUUUAACCAAACUUGCUGAAUGUCCGGUUCCAUCUACAGGUAUUUAUUAUUUGUUAUUAUGCAAACUAGGUAUAAUUAAUUUUACCAAUACGGUACCAUAUAUUCACUGAGAUGCCACAUUGCUGAGAUACCUUUCGUAGAUAGUUAAUAGGCGUAUCCUUGGAGCAAAACAGAUCUUUGUAAAAGGCAAUAGAUGGUUAUUUCUCAACCAGUUUUUUUUUUGAGUGUAGAAAAAAGUCUCUGUGACUAAGAGGACUAUACUUUUCAUUGUUAUAUUGUAAUUAAUGAAUUUUUGAAGAUACACCUCUUAUCUAUUCGUUUAAACUGAUGGUUAUUUUUUCACGUAUAUGUUUUCCAAGUGUUAAUGAGAUUACCAAUAAUCAGAGUUAACUAGGAGAUUUACUGUUGGCCAGUGGAUGAUCGCUGUGGGCAUGCGUAGUUGUGCCAUUGCUGUGCAGUUUUGCCCUCGAUAUAGCUUAUCGACAAGUUAAAUAGGGAACUAAGAUCCAACUUAGUUACUUUAUUUGUCGCAAAGGAGCCCCCGGGGGGGGGGGGACUCCCAUAUGAAAAGGUCGGGGAUUCUCGACUUCUUGCCCAGGGUUGUAAAUAAAGGAUGUUGGUCUCACUCAGGACGAAAAUGCCACAAUUUUUAGCUGUCAAAGUAUCUUUAAGAGAGCAUUCAAAGAGAUACAUUAAAAAACGCUCUCGUUUUCCGUUUUUGGGCUUAAUUCCUGCCUCCCUCUUGAGUCAGGUCUACUAACCCAGGCUCCUAUCCUGGGGCUGGUAAUCAAGCCUAUUCAGUUAUAAGCGGUCUCUUUUAGGGUCAUGCCAGGACAGAUUGGUCUCGGCUUUAGGGGUUUAAUUCAAAUUUUCCGACCUUGACAUAUGGAUGUCCCCCCCCCCCUUCCCGGGCAGUUUCUCAGUUUCCCUAGUAAUAGGUUGGUGGUCAAUUUUAUGUCAAAAAACCAAAGCUGGCCUUCAGACAAGGCAGAUUAGCGCUUCAGCCCCGCCAAUCUGUUCGGAAGGCUAAGCCAAAGAACCACUUAAGGCGAUCACAAAGGACAGACAAACCAGUGAACCAAUCAAAACUCAAUGUAAUUACGUGUAGCAGACGCAAUUUUUAAUUCAACCAUGUAGCGUAGAAGUGCAAAGCCAAGUACUUUUCGACACUCGAAUGAAAACCACUAUGAAUGUAAAAUAACUACAGGUUAUUAGAGUUCACCAAAUUAACACUAAGAAAUUGUCUGGAUAUUUAAAGGAAUUCUAACUAGCACUAUAGGCAAUUUAAGACUAGUAAAGAGAAUCUGUAAUUUGAUGAUAA